UACAGAGGGUGCGAGCGUUGUUCGGAAUUAUUGGGCGUAAAGGGCGCGUAGGCGGUGCGGCAAGUCACCUGUGAAACCUCUGGGCUUAACCCAGAGCCUGCAGGUGAAACUGCCGUGCUGGAGUGUGGGAGAGGUGCGUGGAAUUCCCGGUGUAGCGGUGAAAUGCGCAGAUAUCGGGAGGAACACCGGUGGCGAAGGCGGUUCUCUGGGCCUUACCUGACGCUGAGGAGCGAAGGCGUGGGGAGCGAACAGG
rnacentral:rRNA from 1 species